ACCUGGGUGGCUCAGUCGGUUAAGCAUCCGACUGAAGCUCAGAUCAUGACUUCACGGUUCGUGGGUUCGAGCCCCACGUCAGGCU
rnacentral:tRNA from 1 species